AAUAGAUACCCGGUAGUCCACCCGUAAACGUUGGGAACUAGUUGUGGGUCCAUUCCACGGAUUCCGUGACGCAGCUAACGCAUUAAGUUCCCCGCCUGGGGAGUACGGCCGCAAGGCUAAAACUCAAAGGAAUUGACGGGGACCCGCACAAGCGGCGGAGCAUGCGGAUUAAUUCGAUGCAACGCGAAGAACCUUACCAAGGCUUGACAUAUACGAGAACGGGCCAGAAAUGGUCAACUCUUUGGACACUCGUAAACAGGUGGUGCAUGGUUGUCGUCAGCUCGUGUCGUGAGAUGUUGGGUUAAGUCCCGCAACGAGCGCAACCCUCGUUCUAUGUUGCCAGCACGUAAUGGUGGGAACUCAUGGGAUACUGCCGGGGUCAACUCGGAGGAAGGUGGGGAUGACGUCAAAUCAUCAUGCCCCUUAUGUCUUGGGCUUCACGCAUGCUACAAUGGCCGGUACAAAGGGCUGCAAUACCGCGAGGUGGAGCGAAUCCCAAAAAGCCGGUACCCAGUUCGGAUUGAGGUCUGCAACUCGACCUCA
rnacentral:rRNA from 1 species